UACGGGGGGGGCAAGCGUUGUUCGGAAUUACUGGGCGUAAAGGGCUCGUAGGCGGCCAACUAAGUCGGAUGUGAAAUCCCCAGGCUUAACCUGGGAACUGCAUCCGAUACUGGAUGGCUUGAAUUCGGGAGAGGGAUGCAGAAUUCCAGGUGUAGCGGUGAGAUGCGUAGAUAUCUGGAGGAACACCGGUGGCGAAGGCGACAUCCUGGACCAACACUGACGCUGAGGAGCGAAAGCCAGGGGAGCAAACGGG
rnacentral:rRNA from 1 species